rnacentral:rRNA from 1 species
CAGUCGCCGCGGUAAUACGGAGGAUCCAAGCGUUAUCCGGAAUCAUUGGGUUUAAAGGGUCCGUAGGCGGUCUUGUAAGUCAGUGGUGAAAGCCCAUCGCUCAACGGUGGAACGGCCAUUGAUACUGCAGGACUUGAAUUAUUGGGAAGUAACUAGAAUAUGUAGUGUAGCGGUGAAAUGCUUAGAGAUUACAUGGAAUACCAAUUGCGAAGGCAGGUUACUACCAAUUGAUUGACGCUGAUGGACGAAAGCGUGGGUAGCGAACAGGAUUAGAUACCCCCGUAGUCCCUGUCUUUAUACA